rnacentral:rRNA from 1 species
UACGAAGGGGGCGAGCGUUGUUCGGAUUUACUGGGCGUAAAGCGCACGUAGGCGGAUUGUUAAGUCAGGGGUGAAAUCCUGGAGCUCAACUCCAGAACUGCCUUUGAUACUGGCAAUCUUGAGUCCGGAAGAGGUGAGUGGAACUCCUAGUGUAGAGGUGGAAUUCGUAGAUAUUAGGAAGAACACCAGUGGCGAAGGCGGCUCACUGGUCCGGUACUGACGCUGAGGUGCGAAAGCGUGGGGAGCAAACAGG